rnacentral:rRNA from 1 species
AUUGAACGCUGGCGGAAUGCUUUACACAUGCAAGUCGAACGGCAGCACGGACCUCGGUCUGGUGGCGAGUGGCGAACGGGUGAGUAAUGUAUCGGAACGUGCCCAGUCGUGGGGGAUAACGUAGUGAAAAUUACGCUAAUACCGCAUACGGUCUAUGGAUGAAAGCGGGGGAUCGCAAGACCUCGCGCGAUUGGAGCGGCCGAUAUCAGAUUAGGUAGAUGGUGGGGUAAAGGCCCACCAAGCCAACGAUCUGUAGCUGGUCUGAGAGGACGACCAGUCACACUGGAACUGAGACACGGUCCAGACUCCUACGGGAGGCAGCAGUGGGGAAUUUUGGACAAUGGGCGAAAGCCUGAUCCAGCCAUUCCGCGUGCAGGAUGAAGGCCCUCGGGUUGUAAACUGCUUUUGUACAGAACGAAAAGGUUUCUACUAAUACUAGGAGCUCAUGACGGUACUGUAAGAAUAAGCACCGGCUAACUACGUGCCAGCCGCCGCCGUAA